CCCUUGUGACGGCGGUCACCUCAUCGUGGUGCAAGGGUCUAGUACUCCGUCCAGGAGGAAGUCAAGUGCCCGCA
rnacentral:ribozyme from 1 species